rnacentral:lncRNA from 7 species
UCUUAGUUAAAGCUAUCUAUUAGUGAGAAAGUUAGUUUGGUUGAGGUGUGCCGCGGAGAAAUGUGAUAUUGCCUCAAGAAUCUCUCUCAACGAGUAGCUCAACUUCUACGGAAAUGGUGAUAGGGUUGAAGCAACAGGAUGAGAGAUCUCAAGCAUGCUACUGAAUGUUGUGCUCUGACAAAACGCCAUAGCUUCCUUUAUCAAGACAGCUGUGUUUUUAAAUAAAUGAUCUUAAUUUGGCCUGCAGAAGGAUUAUGCCUGAUACUCAAAUGUAAUACCUUGAAAGGUCACCUUGACUUCCUCAAGAAGUUUAAUUCAAGGCAUUCAGGAUGCCAGACCAGAAGGCCUCCCAGACUGAGUGUUGAAGUUUUCAAUUAAAGCCUUCACCUGCAUGAUUCAAAAUUUGAUUUCUCAUUUGGAGGAAGGAGAAGGAAGAAUGACCAAUUCAAUUUUUUUCUUCUGAUCAAGUACUGUCACAAGUAAUAGUACAGGUAUUUGUGGAUAUAAAGAAUUCAAAAAUAAGUUGGAGAUGAAGGUUACCUUCAGAGUUCUUCAAUAGUGUGCUGUCAUGAAAAGCAAGGAAGAUUUGGUAUAAACAACGCAAAAAAAUUGUAUGUUUGAUAUAAACAAACAUGGUAUCUGAAGAAUUUAUUUAUAUAUAUGAAAGUCAACACCUCUCAGUUAAUAUAUACCAGGAUAAUAUUUGUUUGCUGACUAUGUGCUGAACGUCUUUCCACUCUUUUCUUAGAACAGACUGUUGUCUCUCUCUGGUUAGCCAGAUUAGGGUAAAUGGUUCAUAUAAUUUAAGUGUUACUAAAUUGAACAAAUCUUUUUUUGUUAUACUUAUCAUAAGUUUCUGGAAUAUCAUGCCAACAGCCAGAUAUUCAUUACUC